UGAGCCAAGUUUAGGGUUUUCUCAAAACCCAAGCAGUAUUGAACUGAAGAGUUUGAUCAUGGCUCAGAUUGAACGCUGGCGGCAGGCCUAACACAUGCAAGUCGAGCGGAUGAAGGGAGCUUGCUCCUGGAUUCAGCGGCGGACGGGUGAGUAAUGCCUAG
rnacentral:rRNA from 1 species